GACGAACGCUGGCGGCGUGCUUAACACAUGCAAGUCGAACGGAAAGGCCCUGCUUUUGUGGGGUGCUCGAGUGGCGAAAGGGUGAGUAACACGUGAGUAACCUGCCCUUGACUUUGGGAUAACUUCAGGAAACUGGGGCUAAUACCGGAUAGGAGCUCCUGCUGCAUGGUGGGGGUUGGAAAGUUUCGGCGGGUGGGGAUGGACUCGCGGCUUAUCAGCUUGUUGGUGGGGUAGUGGCUUACCAAGGCUUUGACGGGUAGCCGGCCUGAGAGGGUGACCGGCCACAUUGGGACUGAGAUACGGCCCAGACUCCUACGGGGGGCAGCAGUGGGGAAUAUUGCACAAUGGGCGGAAGCCUGAUGCAGCAACGCCGCGUGCGGGAUGACGGCCUUCGGGUUGUAAACCGCUUUCGCCUGUGACGAAGCGUGAGUGACGGUAAUGGGUAAAGAAGCACCGGCUAACUACGUG
rnacentral:rRNA from 1 species